rnacentral:rRNA from 1 species
CAGUCGCCGCGGGAAUACAGAGGGUGCGAGCGUUAAUCGGAUUUACUGGGCGUAAAGCGUGCGUAGGCGGCUAAUUGAGUCGGAUGUGAAAUCCCCGAGCUUAACUUGGGAAUUGCAUUCGAUACUGGUUAGCUAGAGUGUGGGAGAGGAUGGUAGAAUUCCAGGUGUAGCGGUGAAAUGCGUAGAGAUCUGGAGGAAUACCGAUGGCGAAGGCAGCCAUCUGGCCUAACACUGACGCUGAGGUACGAAAGCAUGGGGAGCAAACAGGAUUAGAUACCCGAGUAGUCCCUGUCUCUUAUAC